rnacentral:lncRNA from 1 species
AGGCGGGCUCAGCUCCAAACUGGAUUUGGUCUCCCAGAGAGUCUGAGAUUUGAAGGUCUCAUAUGGGCUCACGUGCUCUGCUUGAGCUCCUCUUUCCUGUGUCACCAUCUAAAAAGUAUCCUUGGUCAGAAAGCUUAAUACCUCCUCUGAAGACUGAUAAUAUACAUCAUCUUCCUGGACCAGUCUACAAGUGAGGGACAGUGAAUAUUUUGAAUGGCAGCUUUUAGAUAACAAAUCCUCAAAGAGAGAUAGAGUCUUACUCAUCUCUAACAUGUGCUUGACUGUGGAAGACUGCCAAUUAAUAAUGAUUGAGUGAUUUGCUAAAUAAAUAAAAUCUCUGAACAUUGCAGUUAAUGUUAUUUUGGAGAAAAUAAGCAGAAGGCAUGGGGACUGGAAGUUGUGAGGUACGAUGAGGCUUUUGCUGAUACAGGAAUGAUGUCCUCACCCACUGGGCCAUAGGAGUGGCCUCCCAGGAUCAAAGAACAUGGGGAGCCAGCACUGCCAGGACGAAGAAAGAGCUUCAUUACUAUGAACUUGCUUGUGGCUGGAGGAAUUGAAGUGGAGACGCUGACUCCCGUGAGCUUGGAGACUGCAGGGAUGACAACCUUAUGUUACAUUGAUGUGUUCUCAUUUUUGUUGAGUAUGACUAUACUUCUGUACAUUUUAUUUCACUCUUUAAACAUUUAUGUUCCUGUG